CAGCACCUCAAGUGGUCAGGAUGAUUAUUGGGCCUAAAGCAUCCGUAGCCGGCUCUGUAAGUCUUCGGGUAAAUCUGUACGCUCAACGUACAGGCUGCCGGGAAUACUGCAGAGCUAGGGAGUGGGAGAGGUAGACGGUACUCGGUAGGAAGGGGUAAAAUCCUUUGAUCUAUUGAUGACCACCUGUGGCGAAGGCGGCCUACCAGAACACGUCCGACGGUGAGGGAUGAAAGCUGGGGGAGCAAACCGGAUUAGAUACCCGAGUAGUCC
rnacentral:rRNA from 1 species